ensembl:lncRNA
AUGGAAAGAAGCGAAGCCGGAGGCAGCCCCCCAGACGACAGCGGCCUGUGGAUGAAGCUAGACUCCAGCCCUGUCACAGCUCACACACAGAUCCAGUCCACAACCUCUGGUGAAGAUCCCCAGACAAAGAUCAGCAGCCACGACGCCAUCCCACGUCCUCAUCCUCUGCCGCCGACAGAGGGCAGCACAGAGCCCAGCACCAAUAAUUCCAGUGUGACCCAUUCAAAUAAGGCAGCUGACGCCACAGAAGCUGAGGCUAAUCCCAGCAGCUUAGACUGGCACCGUGGGGAGAAGCAGGUAACGGCAACACGGGAGGAUGAAGUAAACACAGGCCACACUUCCAAGGAGUCUGGGGACGUUGAACGUCCGUCCAAGAACACGUGCUACGAUCAGGUUCAAUCAGCAACCGAUCAGGACACAACAAGGUCCGUGGAGGCCGCUGACGGACUGAUGGAAACAUGCAGCGAUCCGAACAAAAGAGCUGUGGAACCAAACGAGGAAGCAGAAGACUCUGCCUCACAGCCACAAACCAGAACCACAAGGGCCCAUGAGCCUGAAGACACUGUCUUCGACCCAAAUCCAGACUGUGAUGAAGUGAAUGAUGAAGACUCAUCAGAACUCCACGCAUGCAGCCAAACGGGCAGAGCCGCCGAGCACAUGACCCAUGAUGACAAAGAAGUCGUUGACGCACAAUCGCUGAACUACAAACUUACUAAGGACGACUGGCUGAGGAGAGAGAGCGGCAGCAUUGAAACGCAGCCAAACGCAGACGAGGUGAGGAGCCAGCGCAGAGACGGAACCUGGAAAAUAGCUACUGACAUCCAGCAAGGAGAGCACCUGCUCCAGCGCCUGCAGCUGGUGCAGCAGCGGCAGGACGGCAGCACGCUGAGCUUCCAGCAGGCGGCGCUCGGAGCCCAGCAGGAACCCCCCCCACGGAGCGCCGACCGGAUGAUGGAGCAGCAGCGGCCAACGCAGCCGAGGACGGGAAGCCGGGAUCCAGGUGGAGCCUGGCUCUGUGCUCCACCGGCCCGGUGGAGAACGUCCGAGGAGGCAGCCCACGGGAAGCUAAGCCUGCACACAGCGGCUGGGGCCUUCAGUCUGCCAGUCAACAUAGACGUGCUGGAGAUCCCCUUUCACACCAGCAUCUCACUGGAGCCGUUUCAAAGCCAGCACAGCACCUGGCAGUUCUCAGAGCAGAAGAUGCAGAAGGAGAUUAGUGUAGAGCCUCAGAGAGAAGUGGUUCUGGUCAACCAGGGUAAGAUCCCCGGAGGGUACAGCAAAGGAGAGGCCCGGCACCUGAAGGAGACCAGACUCCUGUUCGAGGCGUUCCAGCAGGUUCAGGCAGAAGGUCCAGCCAGGCACAGGAGGUCUCCCCCCUCAACCACCAAGGGUCACGUCUAUCCCUCAGUGCUGGAGCGAACACGGAGCCUGGAGAUGUUUUCUCUGAAGAGCUGCCCCGUUACCAGAGCCCAGUCCCUCAGGCUGUACAAGCCAGGCACCUCCGAGCGAGCAGGAAGCCCUGAAAACAUAAGAUCCAAGAGUCCGACAACACGUUUAUGCCCGUACCCCCCCAAAGACAAACACCUGCCUCUGUACAGAUGUGUGGACUCAUUGAGCCCCGAAGCCUCGACAACAGCUGGGGAGACAAGGAGCGAAGCCACACCCCAAUCUCCCAUUCUCAAACAAAACCCCUUCUUCAAGCUGCGUCCAGCGCUGGCUCUGCAGCCAGAGGUGGAGAAGGACAUCCGGGAGGCCAGGGAGCGAGAGGAGGAGCUGCGCAGACAGAGGAGCGCUCUGUAUGGAGACCAGGCUCAGGAAGAAGAAAGGUCAGAGGUCACAGAGACGCGACAGCCAGGUGUCGGACAACAGGCCACAGGGAAACUGGAGCGUGUUUGGCCGCCUCCCCCUAAACAGACACAGGUGACGUCAGCUCCAUUUCCUCUAACAGGCUGCUUACAUGUCCUAAGGCGUACGAUGGCUGCUUGUGGACCAACACAGUGUGUGUGUGUCAUCCCACAGCACGAGCCCAGCGCUCACAGAGCCGGAGGUCCCAAAGCUCGUCUGUGGCAGCGCCGGGAGUCGGACCCGAUCAACGAGCGGAGGCCGCAGGACGACGAGUGA